UUGGAACUAAAAACAUAGUUCCCAUAAUCAAGUCUUUCGUGCUUGUCAGAACCAUUUUUGCGUUUUCUUGUUAACAUUUCCAUGGUAAGUUUGAACAUUCCACUUUUUUGUCAUGCUCCUCCGGCCAUCUUUCAGAAAUGUGCCCAAGUGUAAAACGUUAUUUAUGAAACCAAAUUUGCUUGAAGAAUUUUGCAGCUGCUGGUGAACUUCGAGAAAUUUGUUCAAGAGCUUUGCCCCCGACCGAGCUACCACCAACAAUCAUUUUCCCUCCGGCACCAAAAACCUUACGCUAACGAACUGCUGUUUCCAAACCUAUUCGCUGAUGCUCUUGCGAUUUUGGACCGGAACCCCCGGAGACAAUCAGUAACAGCAGAACUCGAUGGGGACCUUGGAUUUCGGCAUCAAAAAGACAUCGACGAAAAUGUUUCCAACGUUUAAAAUCCGCCCUUGUGCAUACUUCACCCAGAGAAUUGAAGAUGACCCUUCUGGUGCCAAACAGCAGAAUACUCCAGUGAAAACUAUUCGAGACAGUGGAGCUUCCGGAUAGACGAUCAUUUCUUCAACUUUGCAUCCCCCAUCAACUUUGCUUGCUGAACCCGAGGCAUAACCGGAACUACUUCAACGAAGACAUACGGCGAGGAGCACGAUGAUGAUCUCAGUUUUUGGAGCCGCUUCUAGGGCGUCAUAAAUCACGGAACGGGUCACAGAACGACUACGGUGGAUUGAGCUAUUACAUUGUUAUUUAUUGUGCAUUGUUUGAAUAAAUAUAAACAAAAGUA